rnacentral:rRNA from 1 species
UACGAACUGUGCGAACGUUAUUCGGAAUCACUGGGCUUACAGGGUGCGUAGGCUGCGAUGCAAGUCAGGUGUGAAAGCCCACGGCUCAACCGUGGAACUGCGCUUGAAACUGCGUUGCUUGAGUGAGCUAGAGGUAGACGGAACUUCCGGUGGAGCGGUGAAAUGUGUUGAUAUCGGAAGGAACACCAGAGGCGAAAGCGGUCUACUGGAGCUUGUCUGACGCUGAGGCACGAAAGCCAGGGGAGCAAACGGG